GCUAUGAUCAGUAGGGGGCAAUGAGAGUUGGGAGCCCCGAGAAGGGCACUGAGACAAGGGCCCCUAGCCCUACGGGGUGCAGCAGGUGCGAAAUCUCCACAAUACGCGAAAGCGUGAUGGGGCUAGUCAGAGUGUUCAAGCUUAGCUUGAACUGUGGCGGAGCGUAAGAUACUCCACAAGAAAGGGGUGGGCAAUACCGGUGCCAGCAGCCGCGGUAACCCCGGAGCCCCAAGUGGUUGCCAUAUUUAUUGGGCCUAAAGCAUCCGUAGCCGGACUAGAAGGUCUCUCGUGAAAUCGUCCCCCCUGAAGGAACGGCGUGCGAGAGAUACCACUAGUCUAGGAAUCGGGAGGGGUCGGAGGUACUGCAGGGGUAGGGGUGAAAUCCUGUAAUCCUUGCCGGACCACCUGUGGCGAAGGCGUCCGACUGGAACGAGUUCGACGGUGAAGGAUGAAAGCCAGGGUAACCAACCGGAUUAGAUACCCGGGUAGUCCUGGCCGUAAACC
rnacentral:rRNA from 1 species